UGGGGAAUAUUGGACAAUGGGCGCAAGCCUGAUCCAGCAAUGCCGCGUGAGUGAUGAAGGCCCUUGGGUUGUAAAGCUCUUUCAGCAGGGAAGAUUAUGACGGUACCUGCAGAAGAAGCCCCGGCUAACUCCGUGCCAGCAGCCGCGGUAAUACGGAGGGGGCUAGCGUUGUUCGGAAUUACUGGGCGUAAAGCGCACGUAGGUGGUCUUGUAAGUUGGGAGUGAAAUCCCGGGGCUUAACCCCGGAACUGCUUUCAAAACUACAAGGCUCGAGUUCGAUAGAGGAGAGUGGAAUUCCUAGUGUAGAGGUGAAAUUCGUAGAUAUUAGGAGGAACACCAGAUGCGAAAGCGACUCUCUGGAUCGAUACUGACACUAAGGUGCGAAAGCGUGGGGAGCAAA
rnacentral:rRNA from 1 species